UGAACGCUGGCGGCGUGCCUAACACAUGCAAGUCGUACGAGAAACUUUCGCUUCGGCGAAAAGAGUAAAGUGGCGCACGGGUGAGUAACGCGUGAGUAACCUGCCUUCGAAUCUGGGAUAACUUCGCGAAAGCGUUGCUAAUACCGGAUACGGUCCUGGGAACCUUGGUUCUUUGGAUUAAAGGUGACCUAUCCAUGGAAGUUGCCGUUUGGGGAGGGGCUCGCGUCCCAUUAGCUUGUUGGUGGGGUAAUGGCCUACCAAGGCCACGAUGGGUAGCUGGUCUGAGAGGAUGAUCAGCCACACUGGAACUGAAACACGGUCCAGACUCCUACGGGAGGCAGCAGUGAGGAAUUUUGCGCAAUGGGGGAAACCCUGACGCAGCAACGCCGCGUGAGUGAAGAAGGUCUUCGGGUCGUAAAGCUCUGUCAAGUGGGAAAAAAGUCAUACGGUUAAUAGCCGUGUGGUUUGAUGGUACCAUUAGAGGAAGCACCGGCUAACUCC
rnacentral:rRNA from 1 species